CCAUGGCCUCUCCUUCUUCUCCGUCUCUGCCACCAUCACUGCCACCAUACGCUCCUCCAGUGCACUAACACUCCCCCACCACCACCACCACCACCACCACCACCACAAAAACCCUAAGGAAAACCCCAUUUUCACUGCAUCACCAACCCACAUUGCUCUCUCUCUCUCUCUCUCUCUCUCUCUCUCUGAAACGCAAGGUUCACAAUGGCAGCACCAACGGCUCCUUCUCUCUUCUCCUUCGUCCUCGCAUUCUCGCUCUUCUUCUCCUCCGCGGCGCUCGCUCAGACCAGCUACACCCGGGCGGAAGUCGAGGCCCUGCUGUCCUUCAAGCGCGGCCUCAGCGACCCGCGCGGCGCGACGGCCGGGUGGGAUCCCGCCACGCCCUCCGCCCCCUGCGACUGGCGCGGCAUCGCCUGCUACGCCGGCCGCGUGCGCGAGCUCCGGCUCGGCAGGCUCCAGCUCGGGGGCCGGCUCGGGGGCUCGCUCGGCGACCUGCAUGAGCUGCGCCGGCUCAGCCUCCACUCCAACGUCCUCAACGGCUCCAUCCCGCGGGCGCUCUCCCGGUGCUCCCUCCUGCGCGCCGUCUACCUGCAGAACAACUCCCUCGCGGGCGACCUCCCCGCGGAGAUCCUCAACCUCACCAACCUCCAGGUCCUCGACGUCGCGCACAACCUCCUCUCCGGCGGAGUCCCCGGCGACAUGCCGCCGAGCUUGCGGUUCCUCGAUUUGUCGUCCAACGAGUUCUCCGGCGAGGUCCCGGCGAACUUCUCGGCGAGCUCCCAUCUCCGGGUCGUCAACUUGUCGUACAACCGGUUCGUGGGUCGAGUCCCUUUCGGUUUGGGAGCAUUGCAGGAGCUCGAGUACUUGUGGCUAGACUCCAACUUCUUGUUCGGAACUCUUCCCUCGGCGAUGGCAAAUUGUUCCUCGCUCGUGUUUUUGAGCGUCGAAGACAACAUGCUUCAGGGCUUGCUUCCGGGGACUAUAGGGACGAUCCCGAAGCUUCAAGUUCUCUCUCUGACGAGCAAUAAUCUCUCCGGUUCAAUUCCUUUUUCUUUUUUCUGUAAUGGUCCGGUUAAUUCGAGUUCCCUGAGGAUUGUUAGUCUGGGGUUUAAUUCUUUCACGGGAAUAUCCGAGCCGCCAAGUGAGAAGUGCAUUACUUCUCUGGAGGUUUUGGACCUUCACGAGAAUCGUGUACGGGGUGUAUUCCCAUAUUGGUUGACGUAUGCGUCGACGUCAUUGAAAGUGACUGACCUUUCUGGGAAUUUUUUUUCUGGUAUAUUACCUGCUGGUAUUGGAAAUCUGUCAAGACUGGAGGAGCUUAGGUUGGCUAAUAACUCUCUAAGGGGAGUGAUUCCGAACGAAAUUUCGAAAUGCAGCUUGUUGCAAGUCCUUGAUCUCGAGGGAAACCAGUUUUCGGGCCAGAUUCCGGGGUUUUUGAGUCAGUUGAGUAGCUUGAAAGUGAUUUCCUUGAAAGAGAACAGGUUUGCUGGUUCGAUUCCGCAGGGUCUUGGAAGCCUUUUGGGGCUCGAGAAUUUGGAUCUUAGCAAUAAUAAUCUGACUGGAGUUGUGCCGGAAGAGUUAAUGCAACUCAAGAAUUUGAGUACUCUGAAUUUAGGCAAUAACAAGUUCUCUGGUGAAGUUCCUUCCAGUAUUGGGAAGUUGAAGGGUUUGCUAGUUUUGAACUUUAGUAAUUGUGGAUUUUCGGGAAAUGUCCCUGGGAGCAUCGGGAGUCUUAUGAGAUUAACGACUUUGGACUUGAGUAAACAAAAUCUCUCUGGGCAAUUGCCAAUUGAAAUUUUCGGGUUGCCAAGUUUGCAAAUUGUUGCCUUGGAAGAGAACAGUUUAUCUGGGGAUGUUCCUGAAGGUUUCAGCAGUUUAAUUUCUUUGCAAUAUCUGAACCUCACAUCGAAUUUGUUUCACGGCACAAUUCCAACUACUUAUGGAUUCCUUCCGUCAUUAGCUGUUCUGUCCAUAUCUGGAAACAAUAUUUCAGGUCCAAUUCCAGUAGAGCUUGGUAACUGUUCCAAUCUUGAAGUACUUGAACUUCGUUCAAAUAGAUUGACGGGUCAAAUUCCGAGCAGAUUCUCUCACCUCUCUCAUUUGAAGAGGCUUGACUUGGGUCAGAAUAAUUUAACAGGAGAAAUUCCCGAGGAGUUGUCCCAGUGCUUCUCUUUGACUACUCUGUUAUUGGAUUUGAAUCACCUUUCAGGCCAUAUACCCGAUUCUUUGUCAAAACUACUGAACCUAACCUCACUGGAUCUUUCCUCUAACAACUUGGGUGGAAGAAUUCCAGCAAAUCUUUCAGCAAUACCUGGACUGGUGUACUUAAAUGUAUCUUACAAUGAUCUCGAGGGAGAGAUUCCACGGGCACUGGGUUCUCGAUUCAACGAUCCUUCUGUAUUCAAAAUGAAUGGAAAAUUAUGCGGCAAACCCUUGGCUCAAGAAUGCCCAAACGUGACUGCCAAGAAAAGAAAAAGGCUGAUUCUUUUCAUUGCUUUAAUUGUAGCAGGAGCAAUUGUUUUGGCGUUAUGCUGCUGUGGUUAUGUGUACAGCCUCCUGAGGUGGCGAAAGAAGCUUAGAGGAGCAGCUGGGGAAAAGAAGCGAAGUCCUCGUACAAGCUCAGGAGCAGAAAGGGGCCGUGGAAGCGGAGAAAACGGAGAGGCAAAGCUCGUCAUGUUCAAGAACAAGAUAACAUACUCAGAAACGCUAGAAGCAACUAGACAAUUUGCUGAGGAGAAUGUACUAAGCCGGGGAAGAUAUGGGCUUGUCUUCAAAGCCUCAUUUCAAGAUGGGAUGGUCCUUGCGAUACGUCGCCUCCUCAAUGGAUCGAUCAAUGAGCGAACAUUUCGUAAAGAAGCGGAAGCACUAGGCAAGAUCAAGCACCGCAAUCUGACAGUCCUGCGAGGCUACUUCGCUGGACCACCUGACAUAAGGCUCCUUAUUUACGAUUACAUGCCUAAUGGGAACUUGGCCACUCUCCUUCAAGAAGCAUCUCACCGGGAUGGGCAUGUUCUCAACUGGCCCAUGCGUCAUCUCAUCGCGCUUGGAGUUGCUCGAGGACUCGCUUUCUUGCACUCAAUGACCAUGGUUCACGGUGACUUGAAGCCUCAGAACGUGCUAUUCGAUGCAGAUUUCGAAUCCCAUCUAUCAGAGUUUGGUUUGGACCGUCUGGUCUCGGUCACCACAGCUGAAGCCUCCUCCUCGGCCACUCCAGUGGGCACGCUCAGUUACGUGUCACCCGAGGCGACACUAUCCGGGCAAUCGACAAAGGAGUCGGAUGUGUACAGCUUCGGGAUUGUCCUAUUGGAAAUACUGACUGGGAAGAAACCGGCCAUGUUCACUCAAGAUGAGGACAUUGUAAAGUGGGUAAAGAAGCAAUUGCAGAAGGGUCAAAUUUCAGAGCUAAUUGAACCUGGUCUGCUGGAGCUGGACCCUGAGUCAUCAGAGUGGGAAGAGUUUUUACUGGGAGUCAAAGUGGGACUUCUCUGCACAGCACCUGAUCCACUCGACAGACCAUCCAUGGCUGAUGUUGUACUCAUGCUUGAAGGGUGUAGGGUUGGACCCGAUAUUCCCUCUUCAGCUGACCCUACUUCUUUGCCUUCCCCUGCAUGACAAGGGGAACAAAACAAAGAAAAAAGGUCAUUGUUUUCUUUCUGGUAAGAAAAAUCUUUAGUUUCUUCCAAAGAAUGGAUAAAUUCUUACCAAAAAUCAUCAACCAUAUACACAUUCGGUUGCUGGAUUGAGUGAUGUCAUUUUUCAGGUAGAAGCGUACCCAAGAUCGACAGCUGUGCUUGUUCAGAACCACAGUAUAUAUUCCUGGGGAGACUAAUGGAUCAGUGCUAAAACACAGGCUGAGUGUUACCAUUAUCUGUUUGAUGCUGCUAUCAAACUUCAUCACAUGGGUUUGGAUGGUUAUUAUCAAAUCAUGGUCCUCUUCAGUAUAGCAAAGGAACAUUAGCUGAUGGUGGGAAGGCUGGAAUAAUCGGUCUGGUCUUCAAAUUAAGCCACUCCCACUAUACUAAUCAUGGAGAUCUAAGGACGUAUCUAUAUGGAUAUUUCAACUCUUCAGGGGGGGAACAGAAAAAAGGCACGUAGUGUUAUCGAGAUAUCCAAGUUACUAGGAUUGAUAAGCCAUCAGAGGUAUUACUUGUGACUGAUAUCUAUCAAGAAGCUAUUGCUGCAAAAGAAUGCAGGCGUUCGGGUGAUUGUCUCUGUCCACCCUAUAAAUGGACCUCUUCCAGAAAAUCCUGGAUUCAAACAGUGCAUUUAUUCAUGGAGAUCUGAUGAUGGAGUCUGGCUUAUCCUGAAUCUGACUUAGAUAAUUGGCUUAUCCAUUUUGAUGUUAUUCUGCUCUUAUAUCGGUUUAUGGAUCAGAUGUGUAGUUUGUGAAUUCUUUUUCAAUCACUAUAGCUAGUUAACUGCAUAUUAACAGUUAUUGUGUAUCCUGACAAGGAAAACCUCUUUACUGUCCAUCUCUCGCGCAGCCAAUAGACCUAGUUUUGAGGAAUGGAUACGCAUUGCCUUAUUCUCAUACAUGGAAAACAGAGCACAGCCAAAACCAAAUGGACAUGCAGUAGUUGUCUCUCUAUCUGAAAAGAAAAUAGCGUCAAAGGCAAACUUAAAUUGAUUGAGCAAAUAGCCACACAUGCUAGUCUAAGCAAUUUGUCAUAAAAAAAUUUCGGCUAGUAACACUGCAUGUUCCUCAACACCUUUCACCAAUAAAAAUUGAAUAAAUGUCAGAGUAAUGUCGCACCAAAAGAUUGCAUAAUGUGUUUUCUGCAGGAUGAAGAUCCUCUCAGACAAAAGAA